GUCGCCUCCUAAAAGGUAACGGAGGCGCUCAAAGGUUCCCUCAGAAUGGUUGGAAAUCAUUCAUAGAGUGUAAAGGCAUAAGGGAGCUUGACUGCGAGACCUACAAGUCGAGCAGGGUCGAAAGACGGACUUAGUGAUCCGGUGGUUCCGCAUGGAAGGGCCAUCGCUCAACGGAUAAAAGCUACCCCGGGGAUAACAGGCUUAUCUCCCCCAAGAGUUCACAUCGACGGGGAGGUUUGGCACCUCGAUGUCGGCUCAUCGCAUCCUGGGGCUGUAGUCGGUCCCAAGGGUUGGGCUGUUCGCCCAUUAAAGCGGUACGCGAGCUGGGUUCAGAACGUCGUGAGACAGUUCGGUCCCUAUCCGUCGUGGGCGUAGGAAAUUUGAGAGGAGCUGUCCUUAGUACGAGAGGACCGGGAUGGACAUACCUCUGGUGUACCAGUUGUCGUGCCAACGGCAUAGCUGGGUAGCUAUGUGUGGACGGGAUAAGUGCUGAAAGCAUCUAAGC
rnacentral:rRNA from 1 species